UGAUUUUACACUCACCGUUAAUU
rnacentral:snRNA from 1 species